AACCCGACCACACGAAGCUGGAAUCGCUAGUAAUCGCGAAUCAGAAUGUCGCGGUGAAUACGUUCCCGGGUCUUGUACACACCGCCCGUCACACCAUGGGAGUCAGCAACGCCCGAAGUCAGUGACCUAACCGAAAGGGAGGAGCUGCCGAAGGCGGGGCCGGUAACUGGGGUGAAGUCGUAACAAGGUAUC
rnacentral:rRNA from 1 species